GAGCAGGAGCCGCUGAGAGGAAUCUGGGUGGGCUUUGGGCAGCCGUGGUCGUGGGCAGGAUGCGUGGUUCCCGGAGGGCCUCGCGGGAUGAUCCAGGUCUCGCCAGGACUGGUCUGCGGUCACCGAGCGCACGCGGCACGGAACUCCAUUUUUGCUUCUAAAACUACCUGAAACCUACUUUACCUGACGAAGAAAGUAGUCUCCUGAGGAAAUAAGCCUGCGUCUUAGGAUCACAGGCAGAGAAGGACGUUCCUGGCCAUUUAUAACUCUGUAGAAAGAGAACGGUGGAGCAGAGCCAACCCACAGGCACACAGUGAGAGAGAGAGGCAGAGACACAGGCAGAGGGAGAAGCAGGCUCUAUGCACCGGGAGCCCGACGUGGGAUUCGAUCCCGGGUCUCCAGGAUCGCGCCCUGGGCCAAAGGCAGGCGCUAAACCGCUGCGCCACCCAGGGAUCCCGCAAUGUUUCUUUUAGUUGCUGUCUCUCCGUCUAGGUCUCCAAUAAAUACUCAGGACCAGUCCUGGCAAGAGAGUCUUUGCAGCCCAGCUGGAAACCUUCACCAGCUCCCAGGAAAUGGAAGUUCUAGAUUUGAUUUGAUUGGAGCCUCAACAAUGUCUGCAAGGAUCAAAGUGAGAUUGUUUUGGCCUGUUUUCUUCUUUCUGCUUUGACGUCUGUCCUGUUUCAAGUUGACUGCCAGAGUUCCAGGAAUUUCUCAGGCAUGGCAACAUGCUGCAGCACAGGAGACUGAUCUGCUUGGACUUAUUUUUUUUGGUGAGGCAACCUUUUCCAGGAGCAGUGUCUGCAGAAACCCUAAGACCUUAUUGGCCUGUAUCACAUUCCAUGCUCACAAUUAAAUAAAAUAGAUUGAAUCUUGAGGUUGGGAUGAGACCACACUCCCUGAGAGACAUAUAAACUGUAUCUGUGUCAGUAAACAGGGAAGAAGGACAAAUACCCAUUGUAUAGGAACAUAACAAUGACUACUAGAGCAUUUGAAUUUGUUUCCAUAUUAGUUUGUUUUUUUCCUGUUGUCAUUCCUGCUGAAACUCAUGAGUAUGUGUAUAUAUAGUAUUUGUUUGCCUGAGGGGGAAAAAAGAGACGAUUAUUAAAUUGUUAGAUUCAGCAGGCUCAUGGAAAGUAGCUUCUUGAACAUUAGGAAUGAAUUUGAGAAAAUGCAUUUUGUUUCAAGUGGUGAAGAAAAUACUGAAUUACUUAUAUUUCAUUCCUGCUAAUCCUUCUUGGUUAACCACAUCUUGUUUGUUUCUUCUCUCAGUAUCUAUGAUGUUUCCAUCUUUAAUUUAGAGAUUAUACCUUGUUCUAUUUUGUAGCCCACACAUAGAAAUAUUGUCAUCAUUAUAUGUUUAACUUGUUCCCAGAUUGAUUAGUCACGGGUAUGUAUUGCCAAGUAUAGUACAGUAUAUUAUAUAGAGAAAAAUCAUUCUGGGCAAAAAAGAUGCUUAUGCAUAUAUGUGUAUUGUAGUGGGGGAUAGUUGUUGGUGAAGACUCAAUUGCCUUCAACUGAAGAACAUUCAGAAAACGCUCAAGUUGCUGCAGGAAACAAUGAAAGGAAGGAAACGUUAGUCAAGGGUGAAAGGCACCAUAUGUCCUCCUGUACCUAGGCACGACAGGGAGUCAGCCUAAUAGCUGUCUUAAUGCACCCCGUUGUGUGUAGGUAUCGGGGACAUAUGGUAUAUUUCACCCUUAACUGUGAAUUUCCUGAAACAGCUGUAAUGUUCUUUUAAUGUAGUUUGUGUGGGUCGUUAUAUGUAAGCAGAGAUGUUUAAAGCAUCCCCCUUUCUCCUAUUCACAGUAAUCAAAGGAAAUUUAUAUUUGGCUAAUGUACACUUCUAACUAUUAAACUUUUCCCAUUUUGAAAUGUUACCUGCCCAACCCCUACCUUUUACCUGUCUCCUAUCCUCCACAAAUCUAUCCUUCUCUUUCCAUUUCUCCAUCCUGUUCCCCUUUAUUCUAUAGUUAGCAAAGGGCUACUAUUGAGGAAAAGCAGUGAAAUUUUUUCAAGCUGUUUUUAAAGUGACAGCUUGCAUAUCAAGACUGUUUAUAUGCA